rnacentral:rRNA from 2 species
GGUUAAGCGACUAAGCGUACACGGUGGAUGCCCUGGCAGUCAGAGGCGAUGAAGGACGUGCUAAUCUGCGAAAAGCGUCGGUAAGGUGAUAUGAACCGUUAUAACCGGCGAUGUCCGAAUGGGGAAACCCAGUGCAAUUCGUUGCACUAUCGUUAACUGAAUACAUAGGUUAACGAGGCGAACCGGGGGAACUGAAACAUCUAAGUACCCCGAGGAAAAGAAAUCAACCGAGAUUCCCCCAGUAGCGGCGAGCGAACGGGGAGCAGCCCAGAGUCUGAAUCAGCUUGUGUGUUAGUGGAACGGUCUGGAAAGUCCGACGGUACAGGGUGAUAGUCCCGUACACCAAAAUGCACAGGCUGUGAACUCGAAGAGUAGGGCGGGACACGUGGUAUCCUGUCUGAAUAUGGGGGGACCAUCCUCCAAGGCUAAAUACUCCUGACUGACCGAUAGUGAACCAGUACCGUGAGGGAAAGGCGAAAAGAACCCCGGCGAGGGGAGUGAAAAAGAACCUGAAACCGUGUACGUACAAGCAGUGGGAGCACCUUCGGGUGUGACUGCGUACCUUUUGUAUAAUGGGUCAGCGACUUAUAUUCUGUAGCAAGGUUAACCGUAUAGGGGAGCCGCAGGGAAACCGAGUCUUAACUGGGCGUUAAGUUGCAGGGUAUAGACCCGAAACCCGGUGAUCUAGCCAUGGGCAGGUUGAAGGUUGGGUAACACUAACUGGAGGACCGAACCGACUAAUGUUGAAAAAUUAGCGGAUGACUUGUGGCUGGGGGUGAAAGGCCAAUCAAACCGGGAGAUAGCUGGUUCUCCCCGAAAGCUAUUUAGGUAGCGCCUCGUGAAUUCAUCUUCGGGGGUAGAGCACUGUUUCGGCUAGGGGGUCAUCCCGACUUACCAACCCGAUGCAAACUACGAAUACCGAAGAAUGUUAUCACGGGAGACACACGGCGGGUGCUAACGUCCGUCGUGAAGAGGGAAACAACCCAGACCGCCAGCUAAGGUCCCAAAGUCAUGGUUAAGUGGGAAACGAUGUGGGAAGGCACAGACAGCCAGGAUGUUGGCUUAGAAGCAGCCAUCAUUUAAAGAAAGCGUAAUAGCUCACUGGUCGAGUCGGCCUGCGCGGAAGAUGUAACGGGGCUAAACCAUGCACCGAAGCUGCGGCAGCGACACUAUGUGUUGUUGGGUAGGGGAGCGUUCUGUAAGCCUGCGAAGGUGUGCUGUGAGGCAUGCUGGAGGUAUCAGAAGUGCGAAUGCUGACAUAAGUAACGAUAAAGCGGGUGAAAAGCCCGCUCGCCGGAAGACCAAGGGUUCCUGUCCAACGUUAAUCGGGGCAGGGUGAGUCGACCCCUAAGGCGAGGCCGAAAGGCGUAGUCGAUGGGAAACAGGUUAAUAUUCCUGUACUUGGUGUUACUGCGAAGGGGGGACGGAGAAGGCUAUGUUAGCCGGGCGACGGUUGUCCCGGUUUAAGCAUGUAGGCUGGUU